rnacentral:rRNA from 1 species
UACAGAGGUCUCAAGCGUUGUUCGGAUUCAUUGGGCGUAAAGGGUGCGUAGGUGGCGGGGCAAGUUUGGUGUGAAAUCCCGGGGCUCAACCCCGGAACUGCACUGAAUACUGCUUUGCUUGAGCACUGGAGAGGGAACUGGAAUUUACGGUGUAGCAGUGAAAUGCGUAGAUAUCGUAAGGAAGACCAGUGGCGAAGGCGAGUUCCUGGACAGUUGCUGACACUGAGGCACGAAAGCUAGGGGAGCAAACGGG